GUAACGAGCGCAACCCUUGUCCUAGUUACCAGCACGGUUAUGGUGGGCACUCUAAGGAGACUGCCGGUGACAAACCGGAGGAAGGUGGGGAUGACGUCAAGUCAUCAUGGCCCUUACGGCCUGGGCUACACACGUGCUACAAUGGUCGGUACAAAGGGUUGCCAAGCCGCGAGGUGGAGCUAAUCCCAUAAAACCGAUCGUAGUCCGGAUCGCAGUCUGCAACUCGACUGCGUGAAGUCGGAAUCGCUAGUAAUCGUGAAUCAGAAUGUCACGGUGAAUACGUUCCCGGGCCUU
rnacentral:rRNA from 1 species